AUUACGGGAGUGACAAGAAUUCUCUGUGUCCUCCACCUUCAGAUUUUAAUAAAAGGUGGACAAAAUUUUAAAAUACCUAUGCUAAGGUAACUGAGCUAAACCACAGCUCUAGUAAAAAGAAUGUCACUAGGAAAAAUGACUAGAAAAUUGCUACAAAAAAGUAUUAAGAAACUUGGAUCGAAAAUUCACUAAUUAAAAAGAUAUUCUAGGGAGGACGGUAUACAGUGCUGGGCAUGGAGAUCAUCCUAAGAUAGCAUCACUAAAAACGAAUGAUUUAUCUCAAUCCGAUACCGUGGAAGAAUUCUCGGAUUUUUUUUCUUUUUUUCUCAUCAUGUAUUAUUCAAAGACAACUGACAUUGCGAAUGAAAUGGAAAACACAUACGUUAAAUUUGAACACCAUAUUUAAAUGUGUAUUGCUCUAGUUACAAUUAUAUCGAGCCAUAUAUCCUUUUCUGUAUAGAUUAGAUAAAUUAUUUCUUCAAUUCGUUCAAAGAAUCAACAAUUUCGCACCAUUUAUGAAUACCAUUCAAAAUCCCCAUAAGCGCGGGAAAAUUCAAAAUUCAAAAUAUUAAAUGUAUCUCAUACAUUAAAAAUCUAAUUGAUUUCAAAUAGAACCACAUAAUUAUUAAAAAAAAUAUAUUACACGUGCGUGCGAACGCAACCGGAUACGCUUCCGAAAAUAUUUCAUUCAACGUUUGGUCGCCAUGUGCCAAGCAUUGACCGUGGACGACGUCUAGCGUGUGUCUAUAGACCUAUUCCGUCUAUUAAAAGAGUAGUAGGUCUCGCGAUUACAUAUACCUGAGACACAAGCGUAUACAUAUAGCAGUAGAUGUACCGUCACGAACGACGACUAUUGUAUAUACGGGCGUCUCGACGCGAUUCGCCGUGGCCCUGGUAAGAGCGUCGGUUAGCAACAGAUUUCACCAGGAUCGGAUUAAUCAGAAGGGUGCCUUAACCUUAUCCAAUAAACGAAUGAAAUUCAUAUAACGCCAUAAAUUUUAUUUUAUGAUGAUUGGAUGAAAGGUUAUAAUAGCGCGAAUUUUGAAAAUGUUUCAUAAUUUUUGGUGAGAUGCUCAAUUCCAUUGAUUGGCAAUACUGGAAACAGUAGACGAAUUCCUAAGCUAUUUGGCAUAACUACUAAUAAACUAGUAAACUAUUUAUAGAAAAAUUCAAUACUCAUUGAGAAAGGAGAUUCGUACUGCUUUCAACAUACACCUUCUUAAUUACCAUUUUAAAUUUUCCCGCGCUUCCAUGGAUUUCAAAUGUUCCCCAUAAAUGGCGCGAAACUAUUGAUUAUUGAGUGGUUGUUUGAAAAAUGAGUCUUAAAUCAAAAAUGUUUUCACAAAAUAUACACAACAGUAAAUACUUCAUAUAAAAGAUGUUCUCAUAAAGGCAUAACGUCAUCAGUGACCUGAGACAGCGAAAGUUCUUUUGUUUACUUGAGAACUCAUUUUACGAAAUCAUAUUUCGCAUAAACACACGUACGAAUGGGCAGACAAUGAAAACCUAACCUCUGUUUGAUGCAGAACGUUGAUUACGCAUAAUCAAUACCAUAGUAAUGUGCAAUAAUGCGAAUGAAUUCGGAUCGAUGGCACGCUGCACUUACGUAUAGUUGGGUCACGCCUAAGCAUCGCGUCAAGAUAAGCAUAACGUAUCUUUGAUUCAUAUAGAAUAUCGUCACGAACGCGUUCGAUCCCGUGGAGCUCACGUGCCGUAAAUUAUUCGGUGAGAAUAGCAGAGCAGUCCGUGUCGCGACGCAUGCGCAGUAACAUACUCGGCAGAAAUAAAACCGUGAUGGAAAUAACAGGUUUCCACGUUGCUCCAAAACCAGAGAGAGUCAUCUACCUCUCUCAGGUCACAUUACUAAUGAUUGGAACGAAAAUUAAUUCCUAAUCUCUGCUCUUCUCACUGACUCCCUCCUAAACAUAUUCUUUCUCGUUGGCCCUGAAUCGGUCUUUACCUGAGGCCUCCCUGGUGUCCGUGGCAACGAGUGAACAAAGGCGACGAAGCGGCUGCGUAGUGAUAGUAGAAGGGGGGAAGGAGGAGAUAACAGGCGACGUAUUCCUCGUACAGACGGCGUUGCUGUCGCGGAACUCUCCUCGCUUGGAAACCACUAUCGUAGCACCGAUGCACCUUCUUCCAUGUUGCACGAAAUCAAGUACCACUAACAUUUGACGAUCACUUACGAAAUUACGAAAAGACACCAGAAACCGUGCAUUCGCGACGACACAAAUUAUAAUCGAAGACUGAGGAUGCACCACGCGAAGGGAGACUGGUAACGGCUACCACGAGAAAGAGAAAGAGAGAACCGUGACGCGCGACGCUCUACCAGGCGCCAUUUACAGAAACGCACGCAUCGGCGCUGUAUACGCUUGUCUCCUUCUCGCCACGUCCCUCCCACCACUACUACCACUCCCCUCCUUUACUUUCUCACUUGGACGUAUCUAUCCGACCUAUCCCAAUUACAGCGAACGUCCUUGAGGUGACUAACACCUUGUGUGAGAAACAGGGAUGUAUGAGUGGUGGAAAAAAGAUGGCGGAGGAGGUGAGUGGAGACACGAAACACUCGUGAAAAGAACAAAGAUAGAAUGCGGCGAAUGGCCGCGCGUAGAACGCUUAUAGGCUUUCUUGAAGAGGGAGGUGGAUAACCAUGGUGAGAACGAGAUGAUUAUUCACUGUUCCACGAAAACGGCUCAGAACGAUUGUGGCGUACUUUCUUUGUUUAAAUUGGGAAACUGAGAAUUUCAUUUUCUUAUCGUAUUUACAUUAUUAUUCUACAAUAAUUGACUCAUUGAAGAUUGGGAAGCAGCGUGUAUAAGUACAGGCGUGGGUAAAGUGGUUUUCUUUAGUUACUAGGAAGUGUAUGUAUGAAAGGAGUGGAGAUACGUUUACUUAACUAAAAGAAGACUACAUUACGCAAGAGUGUACAUCGAAAAAAAGCGGUGAACAGCGUGGAGCAUGGGAGGUUGUUUUAGGGAAAGUGGUUUUUUAGGUUUUUUCCUAAAGGAAAGGCCUCACCACUAGAGCGGAAAUAUUUUUUUGGAGAAUUUUGUAUUCUAAAACUUAAUGAAAUUUUUGAAUUUUGGUGGGAUCUUUUUCUCUUAUACUGCCAAUUCCUUAGGGAAGUCUACCGUACUCGACACAUUAUAUUAUAAUACUAACUGAUAAUUGUUACAAAAAAAAAUCAUAAACUCUAUUGCUUCUAAUUUCCACUUUCAAAGAAAAUCAUUUUACGCACAACAUCCGAAUGAGUCAGCGGGGCGCGCUGAACCGAAUAUGCACGGUAAUAAAAAGAAUAAUUCACACGUGGAAAAAAAGCAUGACCUAUAACGUUGCUCUUACAAUGAACAAGUGGUAUCGCAGAUUACAAUAUGGUACUUACUCGUUUUGUGAGAACGGACAAAGGAAGAUAAGCCUUUAAACUAAUUGCACUCUGACAAUAUUUCAAAUUAACCCCUUGUUAUAAAUCAUAUAAUUAUAGGAUUUUUAAAUAUCAAUAUAGGGGUUAAAUAUUAUACUUCCAUUUGUGUUUUUAUUUUGUUAAUUUCUCAUAUAAUACUAACAAAACAUUUAAUUACAAAACAUGGGUGUGUGGGUGUAUCCUCCCUUUCAUUCUCACUCUCUCACUCUUUCUCUCUCUCUUUCUGUGUAGUGUGUGUAAUGAAAGCGGUUACGUGUAUCUUUCUAUGUGGUAUGCAUAUCAUCUGGUUAAUGUAAACAUUACUCGAUUACUUCAAUAAGUUGUCUACAAUAAGUAGAUGGAUUUUUAUAACGACAAUUUUUACAUAUCCCAUUUUGUUCGCAGCAUCUCUUCGUGUUUCUCUUCUAAUUAAUAUUUGAACGCAAAAAAGAGAUUAGAAACGCUACUAAUUAGUAUGCAAUAUUAUAUAUAUAUAUAUAUUAUAUAUUAUAAAUUAUUUGUCCAAACACUGAAUAUUUUACAACAGCCAUCGAUCUCAACUAUUCAUAAUUCUAUAAUUUUUUUGUCCUUUUUUUUUAAUUUUUAAUAAUUAUUAUGCGUAGCGUGUUUCUGAUUUCCAAUAUCAUAUCAAUAAUAGGGGUAUAUCAUAAAUUUUGUAAUUUGCUAAAAAAUA